CGGGACGGGUGAGUAACGCGUGGAUAACCUGCCUCACACAGGGGGAUAACAGUUAGAAAAUGACUGCUAAUACCGCAUAAGCGCACGGUACCGCAUGGUACAGUGUGAAAAACUCCGGUGGUGUGAGAUGGAUCCGCGUCUGAUUAGGUAGUUGGUGAGGUAACGGCCCACCAAGCCGACGAUCAGUAGCCGACCUGAGAGGGUGACCGGCCACAUUGGGACUGAGACACGGCCCAA
rnacentral:rRNA from 1 species